GCGAGUAGGUGGCAUGGUGGGGCCUCAAGGCCUGGCCUCCAAAGUUCUCCCCCUACAAUGAAAUGUUACCUCUCAGCGUCGGGCACAUGAAGGGAACCAGACACAAAAGGCUCAUGGUGUUAUGAUUCCAUCCGAACGAAAUGUUCAGAAGAGGCAAGUCUGGAGACGGGAGGGUUAGUGGCUCCCGGAGCUGGGGGGAGGCGGUGCUGGGGGGUUUCACGCUGGGGUGAUGAGCGUGUUCUGGAACUAGAGAACAGUGACCACACAGCUCUGGGGGUAAGCGGAACCCACUGGAAUGGGUGAGCUGUCUGGCUUGUGAGUCAUAUCUCGAUAAAGCUGCUACGGAGAACAUCUCAUGAUGAGAAAACGUAGGCUCAGAAAGGAUCGGUGAGAUGCUCCAGACCACACAACAAAUAGGAGCCCCGGCCGGAACCGGGACUGGAAUCCAACCCAGGUCUGCCUCAUCCCAAGCCUUGGCUCCUAAAUGCUGCUCUUUCGGGGUAUAGCCCCUCUACGGUUGUAUUUGUGUGAAGACACGUCAUUGGAUACAGAGUGAAGGAUAAGAGCUGGCAGAUGGUCGAGGGAUACACAAUCACAAGAGCUUGGACACCGCUGUUCUGCAGGACAGAAGCCCUAAAGUGGGCUGAGCGGAAAUAAUGGCCUUCUCGCUGCCUCUUGAUUGCAGUGCCCUCACAAAACUAAGGUUUUCGGGAACCGUGACGUGAAAAACGUCUGCAAAAACUGCUGCAAAAAAACUCCUCGACCGUUUAAGUUGUAUGGAAAAGACACAUGUUUACACACUUCAUCCAUUUCUCAUUGUUUGUGAAUUGCUCCCUCCUUACAAUGUAACAGCUCUCUGGGUCUUUCACAGGACAAUGUUCUUUAUCACAGUGUCAAAACAACCCACUGGGCGGCUGCCCUCCUGCAGACUGAUGGCUCCUCAGGCCACGGGAGGACCCCUAAGUGACCAUUAGGUGUCCAGAGCUAAAUGACCAUUAGGUGCCCAUCACACACCCGCUGAUAGAUGAGUGCUACACAUUUGCGAAGCACAGCCUCUUUUUUAUUCCUCUCACCGUCUG